rnacentral:rRNA from 1 species
AUGCAGACUACAGAGUGGAUACAAGCCUGCCUAGCUUACAACAUGCAGUUAAGACUACGACAACCCUCUCUCAGGCCCAGGUUGAUACAGGCAACAACACUGAACUCUGAGCCUCCCGAUUUGGGGGAAAACUGCAGACACUCUGUAGAGAACAAAAGCAUGGAUACUACAGAUUCCAACUAUAUAUAUAUUCACGAGCAAGAACCAGAAAUGCUCAAUCUAAUGCGGCUUCGAGCUGCUUCGGAGAAGUGCGACAUACCGACAGGCAAAACCAGCAGGAUGAGCGGUCGCUUCUUCCCACUGCAGAUCACACCACCAGCUCAAGAGUCUAGAGCAAAACUAGCAAACAUCUAA